rnacentral:rRNA from 1 species
GAUUAACGCUGGCGGCAUGCCUAAUACAUGCAAGUCGAACGGAAGCAGCAAUGCUUUAGUGGCGAACGGGUGAGUAACACGUAGGGAACCUACCUAUACGACGAGGAUAACUACUGGAAACGGUAGCUAAAACUGGAUAGGAUCAAUUGAGGCAUCUUGAUUGAUUUAAAGAUCCUUCGGGAUUACGUAGAGAUGGCCCUGCGGCGCAUUAGCUAGUUGGUGAGGUAACGGCCCACCAAGGCGACGAUGCGUAGCUGAGCUGAGAGGCUAAACAGCCACACUGGGACUGAGACACGGCCCAGACUCCUACGGGAGGCAGCAGUAGGGAAUUUUCGGCAAUGGGGGAAACCCUGACCGAGCAACGCCGCGUGAGUGACGAAGGCCUUCGGUUGUAAGCUCUGUUGUAAGGGAAGAACGGUACAUAGAGGAAUGCUAUGUAAGUGACGGUACCUUACCAGAAAGACCACGGCUAACUACGUGCCAGCAGCCGC